rnacentral:misc_RNA from 1 species
CUCCAUUUCACAAUGUAAGUCAUUCUAGCAUUUUCUAUAUUCAUUUUGAUGUUAAUGAAUCUAGACAUAUAUAUCUAUCUAGGUUCAUUAACAUCAAUAUGAAUGUGGGAAAUAUUAGAAUGACUUACAUUGUGAAACGG